GUCACACCAUGGGAGACUGGUAACACCCGAAGUCAGUAGUCUAACCGCAAGGAGGACGUUGCCGAAGGUGGGAUUAGCGACUGGGGUGAAGUCGUAACAAGGUACC
rnacentral:rRNA from 1 species